ACAUGUAAUGCUCUUGUAAUGCUUGCAAUUUUCUCCCCUCCCCUCUGCUUAUUUAACAGUGACAGAAAGUGAACAGGUGUCACUUGUUCAUCUGGAAGCCACUGGAUACAUCAGAAGCGGUCCACCUCCAAGCCCUACCUGAGACUGAAACUACGUAGGCAAAAUCUGAGGAACGAUAUAUCUUUAAUUCAAUUUCUUUCACUAUUUGCACUGGAAAUAGGAAAACUUACAGGCAUGGACAGCAGACUAGUCCUCACUCUCCUGUUUGUGAUGCUGACUGGGUGUUUCAUGGGCACUUAUGCUCAAAGUGCAACAACAUCCAGCAACAACACCACUUCCAACACCAGCACCCCAAUACCAUCUAGCAACAACACCACUUCCAACACCAGCACCCCAAUACCAUCCAGCAACAACACCACUUCCAACACCAGCACCCCAAUACCAUCCAGCAACAACACCACUUCCAACACCAGCACCCCAAUACCAUC